UACGUAGGGGGCAAGCGUUGUCCGGAAUCACUGGGCUUAAAGGGCGCGUAGGCGGGCUGCCGCGUCCGGGGUGAAAUCCUCCCGCUCAACGGGAGAACGGCCUCGGAUACGGGCGGCCUCGAGGGGGUAGGGGCAUCUGGAACUGUGAGUGGAGCGGUGAAAUGCGUUGAUAUUCACAGGAACUCCGGUGGCGAAGGCGAGGUGCGUGGACCCC
rnacentral:rRNA from 1 species